rnacentral:ncRNA from 1 species
GGCACACAUGUUGCUGAAGACAUCCCAGAUGAACCAACGACGGUUCAUCUACGAGAUAAAUCUGGACAAAGGCGUCCA